CCUAAGAACUCAGCGACAACUUACGAACUCUAUGGAGUUUCAAUUCCACGUAUCCCGACUCCUCUCAAUUCAAAAAGUUCGAAGUUCAUCUCUAAAUCACCGGAACACGAUCGGAAACGUCAACACCAUAAUCUAUCCGCAUCCAUCAUCUUCUUCAUCACCUGAAUCGUUAUCGCAUCGUGUAACUGAGAUGGAGCAAUAAGAACAUACCGGAUUGAAUUUGUUGAAUUGAGUUAAUUGUGCACGAGGAAUCAGAGCUCUGGCGCGUUGGUUCUUCUAUGGCUUGGCAGUGUUACAGAGAAAGGUUGGAGAUGUAAAAUGAAGGGAGAGAAGAACUUGAAAAUUUCAGCUCAUAAUCUUUUUGGUGAAGAAUGAAUCGAAUAAUCCUCUAGAAUGAACUAGCUUACUAUGGUCGAAUCACCAUACUAAAAUGAUGGGAACUUAAACCAUGAACUAAGACCAAACUUGCUGCUAUGAUAUUGCAGGUGGACAUGAGGACUUUCAGAGUGCAAUAGAAACAAGGUGUUGGUUGCCAUCUCAAGACUUGGAAGAUUCUUCUAUUCAUGGCUAAUGUAACAUGUAAUUAUGUAGGACUAGGCUUUAGUAUGGAUUUUGUAAUUCACAUACAAAUGCAAUGAGAACUUUGCAUCAAACUAAAUAACCUUUGAUUUAUCUUGCCA